GGCCUCGUAGCUCAACUGGUAGAGCAUGCGCGUACAGAGCGUAGGCCGCGUCCAUGCGUGGGUUCGAAUCCCACCGAGGUUA
rfam:Echinostoma caproni strain Egypt genome assembly, scaffold: ECPE_scaffold0005262